CGAGCACACCUGUGUUGCCUGUAGUCAACUAGACACAGGUGAACUCAAUCUGCUCUCACUCAGUGCUCCUAUAACUAGGAGGAGAAAACAUUGUUCUGUUUGCUGCCACCAACCAGACCUGUGUCCUCUUAUGCCUGUUGUGUGCUUCUAAAAGUGAAUUAUUCUUUAAUGUUUAUUAGUUUGAUAACGCCACAAAUUUGUUUAGUUCGAUUUGUGAUUCAUUCCAGUGUUUAACUGAUGUUUUGUUUAAAUAUUACAAACUUUGUCCAGAGCCAAUGAGAAUUUGAUUGUGAUAGUUAAGAUGGUUAAUAUGAGAACUGUUCUCUUAUGCCAUAUGUAUUUCUCUUCAUUUAAUUUCCUUUUUUGUGGAAUCUGCCACCUCGCUCUCCUUAAUUCUGCUGCCUCACGCAGCAGCACGGCUGGUCUUAAACCAGCCUUAAACAGCACAUGUCCCAGUUGCUGCCCACAUCAAAUUCAAAACAGCAACUAAAACAGCUCCCGCCUACCUGAACUCUCUCAGUCAGGUCUACACUCCUUGUUCUCUCCUGACUAGAUCAUUGCUUAUGUUGUAUCAGCUCUCAGAUGUGUGUCGCUUUGGAUAAAAGCGGCUGCUAAAUGAAAUUGAAAUUGCCUCAGGCUCCAGUCCUCUCCCAUUAGGUUAUACCUUAAACAGUUAUAAACAUACGGAAUAAACCAUAUCUGGAAUCAUGUUAGGCAGAGCUUUGUGGAAUCCUUCCAGGCUGUUACUUCCACAGAGACCCUUGUAACAGGAAAUGUCUGCACCGUUGAUGGUUGUGGUACGAACCACCUGGUAAAUUCUCAUUUCCAGAGGAUCCUGGGUACACUCACACCUUGUCUAUGGUGGAUGUACAUAAACCAUAACAAACAGUUUAACAUUUAUAAAAUGAGCAGUAUUAUAUGUGCACCAACAAAGUACAUAUUCAAAAAUACUACACUAACAUUAUAGUAUGUAGACCAUAGAGUGUAUAUGUACCGUGCAUUUGAUACUUGCCAUAUUGAAAGUAGUAUUGAUAACUUUUUUUAUAUGUUUGUAUAAAGUUUUGUACCUGGUGAUUCGAAAAGGCUGACCCCAUUCUCAUCUAACCCAGCGGGUCCUUUGAGCUCUUCACUGGCUGACUGAAAUGUCUCCUGAACCCCAAGUUUGACUGAACAUGGUGCUUGAGUUGGUCCCUACAGACACUACCUUUUGCAUUUGCAGUUAUUUAAUUAGGAGGUACAGUUUUUCUUUCUAUAAUUGAUAAAUGAAACUGUUUCUUUUAGGACUGCAUCCAACAGCAAAUGUCAUUUCUCCCAUUAGUAAAUGAGGAACAACAGAAUUAGAACAACUUAUAUUAAUACAAAUUUGACAAAAAUGACUCUUGAUCUU